GACGAACGCUGGCGGCGUGCCUAAUACAUGCAAGUAGAACGCUGAAGGAGGAGCUUGCUUCUCUGGAUGAGUUGCGAACGGGUGAGUAACGCGUAGGUAACCUGCCUGGUAGCGGGGGAUAACUAUUGGAAACGAUAGCUAAUACCGCAUAAGAGUAGAUGUUGCAUGACAUUUGCUUAAAAGGUGCAAUUGCAUCACUACCAGAUGGACCUGCGUUGUAUUAGCUAGUUGGUGAGGUAACGGCUCACCAAGGCGACGAUACAUAGCCGACCUGAGAGGGUGAUCGGCCACACUGGGACUGAGACACGGCCCAGACUCCUACGGGAGGCAGCAGUAGGGAAUCUUCGGCAAUGGACGGAAGUCUGACCGAGCAGCGCCGCGUGAGUGAAGAAGGUUUUCGGAUCGUAAAGCUCUGUUGUAAGAGAAGAACGAGUGUGAGAGUGGAAAGUUCACACUGUGACGGUAUCUUACCAGAAAGGGACGGCUAACUACGUG
rnacentral:rRNA from 1 species